AGGUGUGUAGUGCACCACAUUUAUUUGGGGGAGGCUACAAGGCAUUAAGGAAUAUUUCCCUUUCUCGUGUUCUAUUUUGGGCUAUAGAGUCUAGGGUCAAGGAAUUUCUCUAACUCAAAUUUGCUCACGUUUUAGAUCAUGCCUCCCCGAGGAUCUGAUGUUUGUAGGAACUCUGUCGGGCCCUCUAUCCUACCUAAGGAUAAUGUAUAUGGAACUCGACCUGCUUAUACAGUGCAGACGCGAUCUAGGGUCACUAAUUCUGAUUGUACUGCCC
rnacentral:lncRNA from 1 species